rnacentral:rRNA from 1 species
AUUGAACGCUGGCGGCAGGCUUAACACAUGCAAGUCGAGCGGGGUGAUGGUGCUUGCACUAUCACUUAGCGGCGGACGGGUGAGUAAUGCUUAGGAAUCUGCCUAUUAGUGGGGGACAACAUCUCGAAAGGGAUGCUAAUACCGCAUACGUCCUACGGGAGAAAGCAGGGGAUCACUUGUGACCUUGCGCUAAUAGAUGAGCCUAAGUCGGAUUAGCUAGUUGGUGGGGUAAAGGCCUACCAAGGCGACGAUCUGUAGCGGGUCUGGGAGGAUGAUCCGCCACACUGGGACUGAGACACGGACCAGACUCCUAAGUGAGGCAGCAGUGGGGAAUAUUGGACAAUGGGGGGAACCCUGAUCAAGCCAUGCCGCGUGUGUGAAGAAGGCCUUAUGGUUGUAAAGCACUUUAAGCGAAGAGGAGGCUACUUUAGUUAAUACCUAGAGAUAGUGGACGUUACUCGCAGAAUAAGCACCGGCUAACUCUGUGCCAGCCGCCGCGGUAA